GGAAGAAGAAAAGUAGCAAUGCCAGAAAAAUGGGUUGUCUAAUGCACCUGGUGGCAAGAGCUGUUCAAAAGAUUUUUUCAAAUCCAUUCUACCAAAGGAUUUUUAGAUUAGAAUUGUUAUGCUGAGCACCAGUGAAGGACUUCUGGCUUCCUGAUGUUUGAUUCUCCCCACAACAAAAAGUCCUGGAAGUCCCCCAGGGCACUGAGACCUCUCAUUCCUGAUAGUCAACCUGAUAGUCAGUAUAGAAUGGAAUGGAACAGGAUGGAAUUACAGAAAGUUGAGUGACCUUUACCAACCAGCAGUCCUCUGUUAUCUCCCUGCAAGAGCUCAGGACUCCUGUACUGCAAAAAUAACCCCUUUGAACAAGAGCUGGCUCCUCUGCAGAGCUGCCACUAUUGGGAAGGCAAUGUACUGAAGAAGUUCCCAAGUGUACCUCAAAAACUCAGGAAGCAUACAGCUCUGGCAAGUUCUAUGUAUAUUCAGGCGGACUGCAUCACUUUGGGAGCCAGGAAGAGGGACAGAGGACACCCCAAGCAGCUCUUCUAGAGCCAGG